rnacentral:rRNA from 1 species
CCUGGGUUAAACGGCCGCGGUAUUUUAACCGUGCGAAGGUAGCGCAAUCACUUGUCCUUUAAAUGAAGACCUGUAUGAAUGGCUAGACGAGGGCUUAGCUGUCUCCUCCCCCCGGUCAAUGAAAUUGAUCUCCCCGUGCAGAAGCGGGGAUGCUAACAUAAGACGAGAAGACCCUAUGGAGCUUUAGACACUAGACAGCCUACGUUAAACUUCCCCUCUAAUAGGGAAAAAACAUUGUGGCUCCUGUCUCUCCUGUCUUCGGUUGGGGCGACCGCGGAGGAUAAAAGAGCCUCCAUGUGGACCGAGGUUACUAAUCUCACAGCUAAGAGCUGCAGCUCCAAGCACCAGAAAUUCUGACCAAAAUGAUCCGGCACACUGCCGAUUAACGGAACAAGUUACCCUAGGGAUAACAGCGCAAUCCUCUCCCAGAGUCCCUAUCGACGAGGGGGUUUACGACCUCGAUGUUGGAUCAGGACAUCCUAUUGGUGCAGCCGCUAAUAAGGGUUCGUUUGUUCAACGAUUAAAGUCCU